rnacentral:rRNA from 1 species
CCUACGGGUGGCAGCAGUGAGGAAUAUUGGUCAAUGGGCGCAAGCCUGAACCAGCCAAGUCGCGUGAGGGAUGACGGUCCUAUGGAUUGUAAACCUCUUUUGUCGGGGAGCAAGGCCCGCCACGUGUAGCGGUAAGGAGAGUACCCGAAGAAAAAGCAUCGGCUAACUCCGUGCCAGCAGCCGCGGUAAUACGGAGGAUGCGAGCGUUAUCCGGAUUUAUUGGGUUUAAAGGGUGCGUAGGCGGAAGGUUAAGUCAGCGGUCAAAUGUCGGGGCUCAACACCGGCCUGCCGUUGAAACUGGGCUUCUUGAGUGAGCGAGAAGUAUGCGGAAUGCGGGGUGUAGCGGUGAAAGGCAUAGAUAUCACGCAGAACUCCGAUUGCGAAGGCAGCAUACCGGCGCCCAACUGACGCUGAGGCACGAAAGCGUGGGUAUCGAACAGGAUUAGAUACCCGUGUAGUC